AUGUCUGCGAGCAGUGCUAUUCAGACGGAGGCCGAAGCAUGCCUUCAGGAAGUUUCGGCUGCAGCAGCUUGGGGUAUUUCCAGUGUGGUAAUUGAAUCAGAUUGUGGAACUCUUCUGAAGGCUCUACAAAGUACAACUUACGAUCGUGCUCCUGAAGGCAUUAUCUACCGAGACAUUCGUCAGUUCAUUCGUCUUAGUUUUAAUAAGGUUUCUUUCUUGUUUGCUCCUCGUGAUUGUAAUAAAGUAGCCCAUGCACUAGCAGCUAUGGGGAGUAAGGGCCAGGAAACUCACCGGCUGUGGGUGGACGCUGUGCCGAAUGAUGUAACUGUUCUUAUGGCCAGCGAUGUUGCUACCCCAGUUGAGUAG
rnacentral:rRNA from 1 species